ACCGGGAUUGCCUCAGUAACGGCGAGUGAAGCGGCAACAGCUCAAAUUUGAAAUCUGGCCCUCGGGUCCGAGUUGUACUUUGCAGAGGAUGCUUCUGGCGAGGCGCUGCCCAAGUCCCCUGGAACGGGGCGCCGGAGAGGGUGAGAGCCCCGUACGGUCGGCGGCCGAGCCUGUGCGAAGCUCCUUCGACGAGUCGAGUAGUUUGGGAAUGCUGCUCUAAGCGGGAGGUAGACCCCUUCUAAAGCUAAAUACCGGCCAGAGACCGAUAGCGCACAAGUAGAGUGAUCGAAAGAUGAAAAGCACUUUGAAAAGAGGGUUAAACAGCACGUGAAAUUGUUGAAAGGGAAGCGCUUGCGACCAGACGUGCGCCGGGGUGCUCCGUGGGCGUUCUCGCCCGCGCACUCGCCCCGGCGCAGGCCAGCGUCGGUUCGGAUGGGGGGACAAAGGCGUCUGGAACGUGGCUCCCCCGGGAGUGUUAUAGCCAGGCGCGCCAUGCCCCCGCCCGGACCGAGGUUCGCGUUCUGCAAGGACGCUGGCGUAAUGGUCCCCAGCGGCCCGUCUUGAAACACGGACCAAGGAGUCGAGGUUUUGCGCGAGUGUCUGGGUGACAAACCCGCACGCGCAAUGAAAGUGAACGCUGGUGGGAGCUUCGGCGCACCACCGACCGAUCCUGAAGUUUACGGAUGGAUUUGAGUACGAGCGCAGGGCCUCGGACCCGAAAGAUGGUGAACUAUGCUUGGAUAGGGUGAAGCCAGAGGAAACUCUGGUGGAGGCUCGCAGCGGUUCUGACGUGCAAAUCGAUCGUCAAAUCUGAGCAUGGGGGCGAAAGACUAAUCGA
rnacentral:rRNA from 1 species